AUUCCUGGAUUUUUGUUUACUUCAAUCAUAAAGUUAGAAUUCAUGCAGCAGAGAAGAAGCAUGUGGCCACAGGGGCUGACUCAGAGAGUAUCGAGGUGACUUGGCCUGGAAGGAGCGUGGAGGGACAUUUAGAAAGGACAGGGGUGUGUCUGUUUCAGCGUGGGCCAUAGUUAUUUUCCUUGGUCUCAUGUCUCUGGCUUCGGUAGAGAGAAGCUACAAGCAGAAAGACAAUGCUCUACAUUCAAAACGCCAUCUCUGCCAAAUUUGAGUCUGAUAGAGCUCCUUCCCCACGUUAUACUUACAAUGGCACAGAGGCCAUUGCUACCAGCGGACGCAGGAGGCUCGAUCCAGGAGAGGAAGACUUCAGCCCCAGUCCAGUCACUACUGCCCCAUCAAGGCAUGUGGAAUCUUAGCUCCCCGACCAGGGAUCAAACCCAUACCUCCUGCAUUGGAAGGCAAAGUCUUAACCACUGGACCGCCAGGGAAGUCCCCAAUCUGCUUCUGACAUUGGUUUCAUCACUUACCAGCUGAGGGUCAUCAUGAUUUCGGACGCACGCAGCAGUGAUCGGUAGCUUGCAGUAAGCAGCAGCCGUGAACAGCAGCUGGAAGCAAGACCUUCGUUCCCUGACCAGGAGUCCUAACUGCUAGACCACAGAGGCCAGUGGCUAGGGCCUAAAUCCCCAGUCCUUGCCUGCCUUGACAAGAAAGAAUUCUGACAAGGAGGCGGAAGGAAAGAGAAAAGUAAAACAUUUACUGGAAAAGCAGAGUACAUGAGGAAAGACACACAGGCGAACUCUGCGAGAGAGUCUUGAGAGUCGUGCCUUUGGGAAGUUUAAAUCCUUUAUAAGGGGGCAGUUUCCCAGGUCUUUGUCUUCCCUCUGGCCAAUCGUCUUGUUUUGUCCCCCUGGUUAAUUUGUCUCAGCACCCUCCCCUAGGUGCACAUGCACCCCUCAGCCAAGAUGGAUUUCAAAGCAAAGGCGUCUGGGAGGAAAGAAGCAAGACUUACUAUGGCCUGGCGUCCCCUGACUUUUGACCCCCAAGGAGUCUUUCUGCGUAUGUGUAGUGUCUCCCUUGCCCCAAGAGGGGGGAUAUGUGAUCUCUUGAUCCUUUACUCAAAUAAGGUUUAGCCCCUCUUCAUUCCUGCCAUGACUGUUAUUUUAAGGCAUCCACAAGAGACAAAGCCUGGCUAUUUACCCUGUUUCUGUUGUUACUUCCAUUCUGGAGAACAAACAGGAGGCUGAUUGUAAAUGCCUAACCUGGAGCCCACCUAUCUCCUGUCUCAGGAAAUGCAAACAGUAGGCUAGUUCUAUGUGUCCGGCCUGAAGCCCACUUUUUCUCACCCCAAGCAAUGUAAACAGGAGGCCAGUUGUAAAUGCCUAGCCUGGAGCCCAUCUAUCUCCUGCCUCAAUCAAGCCAGCUAUCUAUCCUUUCUAAACCUCAGUUUCCUCAUCUACAAAUGGACACAAAAAUGUCCAUCUUAAAGGGUUGAAUGGAACUAACCUAUGCCAUGCGGUCAAAACAGUGCCUGGUGAACUUUAGGUGCUCAAUAGAAGGUUCCUCUUGUUAUUUCUAAUUGUUCUUGUUAAUAUUAACCUUUAUAA